rnacentral:tRNA from 1 species
GCCGGGAUGGCGAAAUUGGUAGACGCGCUUGACUUAGGAUCAAGUGGGGUAACCCUUGCAGGUUCGAGUCCUGUUCCCGGUA